rnacentral:rRNA from 1 species
AGGUCCCAAGGGUUUGGCUGUUCGCCAAUUAAAGCGGCACGCGAGCUGGGUUCAGAACGUCGCGAGACAGUUCGGUCUCUAUCUAUCGUGGGCGCGGGAAAAUUGAGUGGAGCUAACCUUAGUACGAGAGGACCGGGUUGGACGAACCUAUGGUGUACCAGUUGUCACGCCAGUGGCAUAGCUGGGUAGCUAAGUUCGGAAAGGAUAACCACUGAAAGCAUCUAAGUGGGAAGCCCCCUUCAAGAUAAGAUAUCUAUUAAGAGUGGUUGAAGACUACGACCUUGAUAGGCUGGAUGUGUAAGCACGGUAACGUGUUAAGCU